GAGGCAGUCUAAAUAGGCAAAUCCGUUUAGAUAAUGCUAGGAUGUGAUGGGGAAGCCCUUCGGGGCGAAGUAGCUGAUUUCACACUGUCAAGAAAAGCUUCUAUCGAGUUUAAAGGCGCCCGUACCGUAAACCGACACAGGUGGGUGAGGAGAGUAUCCUAAGGCCAGCGAGAGAACUAUUGUUAAGGAACUCGGCAAAAUGACCCCGUAACUUAGGGAGAAGGGGUGCCUGUCUAUGACAGGCCGCAGAGAAUAGGCCCAAGCGACUGUUUACCAAAAACACAGGUUUCUGCUAAGUCGCAAGACGAUGUAUAGGAGCUGACGCCUGCCCGGUGCUGGAAGGUUAAGGGGAUCUGUUAGAGCAAUCGAAGCAGUGAACUUAAGCCCCAGUAGACGGCGGCCGUAACAAUAACGGUCCUAAGGUAGCGAAAUUCCUUGUCGGGUAAGUUCCGACCCGCACGAAAGGCGUAGCGAUUUGGGCACUGUCUCAACAAUAGACUCGGUGAAAUUGUAAUCCCGGUGAAGAUGCCGGGUACCUGCGACAGGACGGAAAGACCCCAUGGAGCUUUACUGUAGCUUGACGUUGGGUCUUGGUAGUACAUGUACAGGAUAGGUGGGAGACUAUGAAGCAUGGACGCCAGUCUGUGUGGAGUCAUCCUUGGGAUACCACCCUUGUAGUACUGGGAUCCUAACCAUAGGCCUUGAAUCAGGUCUUGGAACACCGUCAGGUGGGCAGUUUGACUGGGGCGGUCGCCUCCUAAAAAGUAACGGAGGCGCUCAAAGGUUUCCUCAGCACGGUCGGAAAUCGUGCGAAGAGUGUAAAGGCAAAAGGAAGCUUGAUUGCAAGACAUACAGGUCGAGCAAGGACGAAAGUCGGACUUAGUGAUCCGGUGGUACCGCAUGGAAGGGCCAUCGCUCAACGGAUAAAAGCUACCCUGGGGAUAACAGGCUUAUCUCCCCCAAGAGUCCACAUCGACGGGGAGGUUUGGCACCCCGAUGUCGGCUCAUCACAUCCUGGGGCUGUAGUAGGUCCCAAGGGUUGGGCUGUUCGCCCAUUAAAGUGGUACGCGUGCUGGGUUCAGAACGUCGUGAGACAGUUCGGUCCCUAUCCGUCGCAGGCGUAGGAAAUUUGAGAAGACCUGUCCUUAGUACGAGAGGACCGGGAUGGACGUACCUCUGGUGUACCAGUUGUUCUGCCAAGGGCAUGGCUGGGUAGCUAUGUACGGAAUGGAUGAGCGCUGAAAGCAUCUAAGCGCGAAGCCAACUUCAAGAUAAGAUUUCCCACCGUAAGGGUAAGACCCCAGGAAGACUACCUGGUUGAUAGGUCGAAGGUGUAAGUGCAGUAAUGUAUUUAGCUUAUCGAUACUAAUAGGUCGAGGACUUGAGC
rnacentral:rRNA from 1 species